ACAUCCUGCCCAUUUUUUCCCCCACUUUUAACACAUUUCCCAUUAUUUCCCCCCAAAUUUCCCACAUUUCACCUCAUUUUUUCCUCAUUCCACCCAUUUUCCCCCACUUCCUGCAUUUUUCUCAUCACAUUUCCCCAAAUCUUGACCAUCUCACCUCAUUUUCUCCCACAUUUUGGGUUAUUCUCCCACAUUUUGGGUUAUUUCCCCCACAUUUUGUACAUCACUCCCGAGCUCCACACCUUUCACCACCAUUUCCCCCCAAACCCCACACAACUCCGCUUCCUUUCCCCCAAAACACCACACCCUGCACUCACACCCCCCAACCUCACAACCCCACACCUUCCUUUGCCCCAAAUUCUGCCCUUUUCCCCCCACUUUCAGCCACUCCUCCCACGCCAUUCACACCAAACCUCGCCAACAGCCAACGAAGCCCAACAGCCCCCAUUACAGCCCAACAAACCCCAUUACAGCCCAACAACCCUCAUUACAACCCAACAAACCCCAUUACAGCCCAACAGCCCCCAUUACAGCCCAACAAACCCCAUUACAGCCCAACAACCCUCAUUACAACCCAACAAACCCCAUUACAGCCCAACAGCCCCCAUUACAGCCCAACAACUCUCAUUACAACCCAACAAUCCCCACUCCAGCCCAACAACUCCCAUCACAGCCCAACAGACCCCAUUACAACCCAACAAACCCCAUUACAGCCCAACAGCCCCCAUUACAGCCCAACAACUCCCAUUAGGGCCCAACAACCCUUAUUACAGCCCAACAGCUGCCAUUAAAGCCCAACAGCCGCCAUUACAGCCCAACAAACCCCAUCACAGCUAACAACCCCCAUUACAGCCCAAUAGCUGCCAUUACAGCCCC
rnacentral:lncRNA from 1 species